rnacentral:rRNA from 1 species
GACGAACGCUGGCGGCGUGCUUAACACAUGCAAGUCGAACGGAAAGGCCCUGCUUUUGUGGGGUGCUCGAGUGGCGAACGGGUGAGUAACACGUGAGUAACCUGCCCUUGACUUUGGGAUAACUUCAGGAAACUGGGGCUAAUACCGGAUAGGAGCUCCUGCUGCAUGUUGGGGGUUGGAAAGUUUCGGCGGUUGGGGAUGGACUCGCGGCUUAGCAGCUUGUUGGUGGGGUAGUGGCUUACCAAGGCUUUGACGGGUAGCCGGCCUGAGAGGGUGACCGGCCACAUUGGGACUGAGAUACGGCCCAGACUCCUACGGGAGGCAGCAGUGGGGGAUAUUGCACGAUGGGCGGAAGCCUGAUGCAGCAACGCCGCGUGCGAGAUGACGGCCUUCGGGUUGUAAACCGCUUUCGCCUGUGACGAAGCGUGAGUGACGGUAAUGGGUAAAGAAGCACCGGCUAACUACGUG